UACAGAGGUCCCAAGCGUUGUUCGGAUUCACUGGGCGUAAAGGGUGCGUAGGUGGUGGGGUAAGUCGGAUGUGAAAGCUCGGAGCUCAACUCCGAAAUGGCAUUGGAAACUACCCUGCUAGAGGAUUGGAGGGGGGACUGGAAUACUUGGUGUAGCAGUGAAAUGCGUAGAUAUCAAGUGGAACACCAGUGGCGAAGGCGAGUCCCUGGACAAUACCUGACACUGAAGCACGAAAGCUAGGGGAGCAAACAGG
rnacentral:rRNA from 1 species